UACGUAUGGUGCGAGCGUUAAUCGGAAUUACUGGGCGUAAAGUGUGCGUAGGUGGCCGCGCAAGUCGAGUGUGAAAUCCCCGAGCUUAACUUGGGAAUUGCGCUCGAAACUACGUGGCUCGAGUGUGGCAGAGGAAGGUGGAAUUCCACGUGUAGCGGUGAAAUGCGUAGAGAUGUGGAGGAACACCGAUGGCGAAGGCAGCCUUCUGGGCCAACACUGACGCUCAUGCACGAAAGCGUGGGGAGCAAACAGG
rnacentral:rRNA from 1 species